rnacentral:rRNA from 1 species
AAUACGGAGGGUGCGAGCGUUAAUCGGAAUUACUGGGCGUAAAGCGCAUGCAGGUGGUUUGUUAAGUCAGAUGUGAAAGCCCGGGGCUCAACCUCGGAAUUGCAUUUGAAACUGGCAGACUAGAGUACUGUAGAGGGGGGUAGAAUUUCAGGUGUAGCGGUGAAAUGCGUAGAGAUCUGAAGGAAUACCGGUGGCGAAGGCGGCCCCCUGGACAGAUACUGACACUCAGAUGCGAAAGCGUGGGGAGCAAACAGGAUUAGAUACCCUGGUAGUCCACGCCGUAAACGAUGUCUACUUGGAGGUUGUGGCCUUGAGCCGUGGCUUUCGGAGCUAACGCGUUAAGUAGACCGCCUGGGGAGUACGGUCGCAAGAUUAAAACUCAAAUGAAUUGACGGGGGCCCGCACAAGCGGUGGAGCAUGUGGUUUAAUUCGAUGCAACGCGAAGAACCUUACCUACUCUUGACAUCCAGAGAACUUUUCAGAGAUGAAUUGGUGCCUUCGGGAACUCUGAGACAGGUGCUGCAUGGCUGUCGUCAGCUCGUGUUGUGAAAUGUUGGGUUAAGUCCCGCAACGAGCGCAACCCUUAUCCUUGUUUGCCAGCACUUCGGGUGGGAACUCCAGGGAGACUGCCGGUGAUAAACCGGAGGAAGGUGGGGACGACGUCAAGUCAUCAUGGCCCUUACGAGUAGGGCUACACACGUGCUACAAUGGCGCAUACAGAGGGCGGCCAACUUGCGAAAGUGAGCGAAUCCCAAAAAGUGCGUCGUAGUCCGGAUCGGAGUCUGCAACUCGACUCCGUGAAGUCGGAAUCGCUAGUAAUCGUGGAUCAGAAUGCCACGGUGAAUACGUUCCCGGGCCUUGUACACACCGCCCGUCACACCAUGGGAGUGGGCUGCAAAAGAAGUGGGUAGUUUAACCUUCGGGAGGACGCUCACCACUUUGUGGUUCAUGACUGG